rnacentral:rRNA from 1 species
CAGCAGCCACGGGAAUACAGAGGGUGCGAGCGUUAAUCGGAUUUACUGGGCGUAAAGAGUGCGUAGGCGGCUUCUUAAGUCGGAUGUGAAAUCCCUGAGCUUAACUUAGGAAUUGCAUUCGAUACUGGGAAGCUAGAGUAUGGGAGAGGAUGGUAGAAUUCCAGGUGUAGCGGUGAAAUGCGUAGAGAUCUGGAGGAAUACCGAUGGCGAAGGCAGCCAUCUGGCCUAAUACUGACGCUGAGGUACGAAAGCAUGGGGAGCAAACAGGAUUAGAUACCCCGGUAGUCCCUGUCUCUUAUAC